rnacentral:misc_RNA from 1 species
GCCCCAUCGCAUACAUGUCCGCCGGCACCAUCCUCGGCAAGGCGGCGUAGUAGGCCCCGCCGGGGUACGGGCCGGGGAACAUGUACAGCGGCUGGUCCCCACCACCGACAAUCGACGCGUAUCUGCUCCCGGCCGGCGCAACGCGCUGGUCCGGCCAGUAGGCCGGCGACAUCUGCGCCGGUGCAACCUUCUCCGGCGCCCUUGGCAUGUAGAAGUCCGCGGCGGCCGUCACCGCCGCUUGCUGGUUCUCAGCCGCGAUCUGAAGCUUCUGCAGAUCCUUGAUCUGCCUCUGGAUAUCAGCCACCGCCUCCGCCCCGAUCUGGCGCUCAUCCUUCACCGGCGCCUCCGACGGGAUAGGCUCCACGGCCACAGGCUCCGGUGCCGGAGCCA